rnacentral:tRNA from 2 species
CUGAACAGACGGGCCUCGAUCCCGCG